rnacentral:rRNA from 1 species
UACAGAGGUCUCAAGCGUUGUUCGGAUUUAUUGGGCGUAAAGAGCUCGUAGGCGGUUCGACAAGUCGGGUGUGAAAACUCCGGGCUCAACCCGGAGACGCCACCCGAUACUGUCGUGACUGGAGUCCGGUAGGGGAGUGGGGAAUUCCUGGUGUAGCGGUGAAAUGCGCAGAGAUCUGGAGGAACACCGAUGGCGAAGGCAGCCUUCUGGGCCAACACUGACGCUCAUGCACGAAAGCGUGGGGAGCAAACAGG